GACGGAGGAUGCAAGCGUUAUCCGGAAUGAUUGGGCGUAAAGCGUCCGCAGGUGGCAGUUCAAGUCUGCUGUCAAAGACCGGGGCUUAACUUCGGAAAGGCAGUGGAAACUGAACAGCUAGAGUAUGGUAGGGGCAGAGGGAAUUCCUGGUGUAGCGGUGAAAUGCGUAGAGAUCAGGAAGAACAUCGGUGGCGAAGGCGCUCUGCUGGACCAUAACUGACACUCAGGGACGAAAAGCGUAGGGGAGCGAAAUGGG
rnacentral:rRNA from 1 species